rnacentral:rRNA from 1 species
GAUGAACGCUGGCGGCGUGCCUAAUACAUGCAAGUCGAGCGAACAGACGAGGAGCUUGCUCCUCUGACGUUAGCGGCGGACGGGUGAGUAACACGUGGAUAACCUACCUAUAAGACUGGGAUAACUUCGGGAAACCGGAGCUAAUACCCGAUAAUAUAUUGAACCUCAUGGUUCAAUAGUGAAAGACGGUUUUGCUGUCACUUAUAGCUGGCUCCGCGCCGCAUUAGCUAGUUGGUAAGGUAACGGCUUACCAAGGGAACGAUGCGGAGCCGACCUGAGAGGGUGAUCGGCCACACGGGAACUGAGACACGGUCCAGACUCCUACGGGGGGCAGCGGUGGGGAAUCUUCCGCAAUGGGCGAAAGCCUGACGGAGCAACGCCGCGUGAGGGAUGAAGGUCUUCGGAUGGUAAAACUCUGUUAUUAGGGAAGAACAAAUGUGUAGGUAACUAUGCACGUCUUGACGGUACCUAAUCAGAAAGCCACGGCUAACUACGUG